rnacentral:lncRNA from 1 species
AUCAAUGACAUCUCUGUUGAGGAUUACAUCACAGCAAUUGCUUCCAAGCAUCCAGUUUAUAUGCAACACACAGCUGGUAGAUACCAGGCUAAGCGUUUCACGAAGGCCCAGAGCCCAAUUGUUGAGAGGCUCACCAACUCUCUUAUGAUGCAUGGACGGAACAACGGGAAGAAGCUAAUGGUUGUCCGCAUCAUCAAGCAUGUAAUGGAGAUCAUUCAUUUGUUGACUAACAAGAACCCAAUUUGUCACGACCCCAAAUCCACUAGUAGUGAUGGCACCUAGCCCAACCCGCUAGGUAAGCCAACCAGUAACUAUCCAAUUCUAAUGAUAUUAAUAGGACAAAUAAACGAAGGUAAUUUAAUUAAUUUAUACAUUUCCCAAGGACUGGUAGUACAAAUCAUGAGCUUCUAAGAAUAAAGUUUACAAAGCUGAAAUGAAAUAAAUACAUAGUCUGUUUGAAAAGUAUAUAAACAAGGUUUUAUAGAUCUAAGGCUACAACGAACAAGAGGCAGCUGCAACCGGGACACAUGUACAUCUUCAAUCCAGCUCCCAUCUAACACAGCAAUAUCAGCAGCCAACAUCUGCAUAUAAGGUGCAGAAGUGUAGUAUGAGUACAACCGACCCUAUGUACUCAGUAAGUAACAAACCUAACCUUAGGUUGAAAGUUGUAACGACCAAACACAAGGUCGGGUACGAUACCAAUAUUCCACAAUAGUUCAUAACAACAAAACACAGGUAAUAAAAGAGGUAUCUCAGUGAAACUCAAAUCUUUUACCGAAUAUGCCAAAACACGAGUAAGUUUGAAAACUGUGAUUCUUCCCAAAAAUCCUUUCAACAAUAAGUAAAAUGUUUCAUUUUCAGAUAGCAUAAGGAAAGUACGUCUCUACGCCUAUAUGUCAAGAUACAGGUAAAAUCAUAAAUGUCCCAAAAUUGGGUAGCAAAAAGAAAUGCAUCUUUAUGCAUGUAUCUCAAGUACGCAUAUCAAAUGCAAUGCAUCUCGAUGAUGAGCUCGUAUACUCACACUCUCAUAGUACUCAAUCUCAUUGUCCCGCAUCCUCUCUCACUAUGCUCAAUGCUCAGCACACUCAAUCACUAAGCGUUGUACAAUACCCGCUGCGGCGUGCAGCCCGAUCCACAUAUUUAUAGUCGAUUGCGCUCACUGGGGGUGUGCAGACUGCGGAGGAGCUCCUUUCAGCCCAAGCACUAUAAUCCGCACGGACAACUCACGUGCUGCACGGGCAACUCACGUGCCAUAAUAUCAAUAUCUAGAUCCGCACGGACAACUCACGUGCUAUAUUAUCAAAAUCUGGAUCCGCAUGGACAACUCACGUGCUGUACAGACAACUCACGUGCUACAGUAUCAAUAUCCUCAAAAACAGGCCCACCGGCCUCACUCAGUCAUCAAUCUCUCCAAUAUCACUCACGAGCUCACAAUGUCAUGAAACUAGCCCGACAAUAAUGAUAUGAUAUAUCAAUAAAUAACAACUGAGACUGAGAUAUGAUAUGAAUGCAUGAAUAUUACUGAGUACGAUAUAUCAAUGAAAUCAGUGAGAUGGCAGCAAGAAACGACCACUAUGGGUCCUAACAAUAUCAGCAUAAAGCCUAAACAUGAUAUUUAGUAUGAUUGACAGUUCAGUUACAUUAUCACAUGGUGAUAACAUAGAUAUCAACAAAAUAGGGCCACUAUAUAGUGCCAUGGAAAUAACGGAGUCAUAAUUCAUAGGGUGCACGCCCACAUGCCCGUCACCUAGCAUGUGCAUCACCUCAAUACCAAUCACAUAACAUAUAUUACGGGGUUUCAUACCCUCAGCACUAAGUUUAGAAGAGUUACUUACCUCGAACGUGCCAAUACCAAUGCCAAGAAAGCCAAGCGGUGCUUCAAAGAUUCCAUCACGCGCGUAGAGACCUCCGGACGGCUCAAAACUAACCAAAAGCAACUCAAAUACAUCAAAUAAAGUCCAAGGAAAUAAUUCCAAAUGAUAAAGAUUGAAUCUAAUCAAAACCCAAAACCGGCCAAAAAUAACACCCCGGGCCCGCGCCUCGAAACCCAACAAAUCUCACAAAAUCGUACAACCCAUUCAAUUACGAGUCCAACCAUACUAGUUUCACUCAAAUCCCACUCCAAUUCGAUGUUCAAAACUCAAAAAUUCAUAUUAUGAAACUUUAGGCCAAAACCCCCAAUUUCCUCUUUAAAUUCACAAUCCAAUUACCAAAACGAAGGUAGAUUCAUGAAAUAUAACCAAAACCGAGUAGAGAACACUUACCCCAAUUCAUAUGGUGACAUAUGCUUCAAAUAUCGCCUCAAUCCAAGCUUNNNNNNNNNNNNNNNNNNNNNNNNNNNNNNNNNNNNNNNNNNNNNNNNNNNNNNNNNNNNNNNNNNNNNNNNNNNNNNNNNNNNNNNNNNNNNNNNNNNNNNNNNNNNNNNNNNNNNNNNNNNNNNNNNNNNNNNNNNNNNNNNNNNNNNNNNNNNNNNNNNNNNNNNNNNNNNNNNNNNNNNNNNNNNNNNNNNNNNNNNNNNNNNNNNNNNNNNCCUCAAAUUGAAAUCUAUGAACUUUGAACUUCAAACUUCCACAACCGAUGCCGAAACCUAUUAAAUAACGUCCGAUUGACGUCAAACUUUACACACAAGUCCCAACUGACAUAACGAAGCUAUUCCAAUUCCCGAAAUCACAAUCCGAAUCCAAUAUCAAAAAGUCCACUCCAGGUCAAACUUUUCAAAAAUCCAACUUUCGCCAUUUUAAGCCAAAUUUUACUACUGACCUCCAAAUCACAAUUCGGACGCGCUCCUAAGUCCAAAAUCACCCAACAGACUUAACGGAACCAUCAAAAUUCCAAUCCGAGGUCAAAUGAUAAAAAGUCAAACUUGGUCAAGUCUUUCAAAUUUAAAGCUCCCUAGUUGAGAACUAUUCUUCCAAAUCAGUCCCGAAUAACCUGAAAACCAAAACCGACAAUUCACACAAGUCAAAAUACAUCAUAUGGAGCUACUCAUGCCCUUAAACUACCGAGCGAAGUGCAAAUGCUCAAAAUGACUGGUCGGGUCGUUACAUUCUCUCCCACUUAAAUAUACGUUCGUCCUCGAACGUGCCAAGAAUUCUUCCCAAAACCAUCAAACUGCCGUAUAACCUUACCAUGCAUGUACCCGGGGUGAUCCCACGUCACCCGAUCCCAUAUAGGUUCGAUAAUACAACAUAACUAAAAUUUCUCAAUUCAACCUAGUCCAUAAGCCUUAGAAUCCAAUUUUCCAGCAUCCGAAAUUUCUAAUAAGAUCUGAAUCUCGCAACCUACACGCUGCAUAAGUCUGAACAAACUAUACCAAACUGCAACCAUCACCCAAGCUACAAUCACAGGAUAUACCACCUAACUCAAAUACCCAUAGCAAAAUCUCCAAUCAUAGUAACUACUCAGAACAACCCAAUCCCGGUAAUAAACCUCAUACCUAACAAAACCUCAUUCUAAAACCUUCGUACACCGCCGAUAAUGAAAGAACACGCAGAAACUCAUAAUCAUUCAUCAAAUCAACAAGUCGUGGAGCUCCCUCUCCUUCAACAAGAACUAUAGCCAAUUCCUAAGCCGACUUCCGAUAUUAUCCUUCAAAUAUACCGCAAUCAAAUCCGAUAGCACCUAUCCUAGAUCCAACGACUCCAUCUUAUCGGAUACCAACUACUCUACUGACACGCAACACCCAUACUACUCAGAGCCACAAACCAUGCAAUCCAUGAACCAAUAAACAACAAUCCAAAUGUACUCAAUCAUAAAAAUGACUCAAUCAAGAGAACCGUCCCGCAAGCUCAACGGGUACCACCACAACGCAAUACUAAGAACCCAUCACACAUCGUAGGACCAAAACACACGAAUCUAAUGCAAGGGAUCAUACCUAAACAUAACUCCGCUGCAAUGCGCAACUCCAUCCAAACGCUGAUCCAUAUCAUAUGCCUCGAGCCACUUUGCGCCUUCGCAGAUGCGAAGCAAUCGCCGCUUCUGCCGAACCCUGCUCUCAGCAAUAUUUUCGCUCAUGCGACCCCUUCGUUGCUUUUGCGACCAUCGCACAUGUGCAAACCAGCCGCAAGUGCGGUCACACCAGAACCAGCAAUAGCAACAUUGAAGAAAAUGAUUCGAAAUCAAUUUAAAACACGCCUGAGUCCCUCGGGACUCCGUCCAAACAUACCAACAAGUUCCAUAACACAAUACGGACCUACUCGAGGCCUCAAAACACACAUAAAAAUAUCAAAAUGACGAAUCACACCUCAAAUCUAAAUCUAUGAACUUUGAACUUCAAACUUCCACAACCGAUGUCGAAAUCUAUCAAAUCACGUCCGAUUGACGUCAAACUUUGCACAUAAGUCCCAAAUGAUAUAAUGAAGCUAUUCCAAUUCCCGGAAUCACAAUACGAAUCCGAUAUCAAAAAGUCCACUCCCGGUAAAUCUUUUCAAAAAUCCAACUUUCGCCAUUUCAAGCCAAAUUCCACUACGGACCUCCAAAUCACAAUCCAGACGUGCUCCUAAGUCCAAAAUCACCCAACGGACCUAACGUAACCACCAACAUUCCAAUCCGAUGUCAAAUGCUAAAAAGUCAAAUUUGGUCAACUCUUUCUAAUUUAAAGCUCCCUAGUUGAGAACCAUUUUUCCAAAUCGGUCCCGAAUAACCUGAAAACCAAUGAUUCACACAAGUUAAAAUAUAUCAUCCGGAGCUACUCAUGCCCGUAAACUAUCGAGCAAAGUGCAAUUACUCAAAACGACCGGACAAGUCGUUAUACAAUUCAAGUCAUUGUUGAUGUUGUCAUCAAUAUGUGCGCACUAGUGAUCGGUGCUUAAUUGAUCCAAAUGUUCUUUAAUCUUUAUUUUGUUUCAAUUGGGUAACAAUGGACCAAUCGUAGCAUCAAAUGUUGUUUCAGUAUUUGCAGAUAUUGGUUUGCCCAUCUAUAUUUGCAAAUACUGAACAUUGAGUAUCCAAAAUGCUGGUGGAUCAUUUGAAAUGCUAGUUUGACUAGUAUAUCUCAAAUAAAAUAAUGAUUUUUUCUCACAAAUCUUCAAUUUUUUAAAUAUUAUUUUCUAAGUGGAGUUCAUGCCUACCAUAUAUGUUUCAUUGAUAGCUUUGUCUUCUCCAUUUGAUCAUCUAGUGGGCCAAGGGAAGAUGCAACUCGUAUUGGUUCGGCUGGUGUUGUGAGGCAUGGGGCUGUUGAUAUUUCUCCACUUCGCCGUGUUAACCGGGUAAUUUAUUUGCUGACAAUUGGUGCACGUAAGAGUGCUUUCAGGAACAUCAAGACCAUAGUUGAGUGCCUUGCAGAUGAACUCAUCAAUGCUACCAAGGGUUCUUCAAAUAGGUAAAAUGAUUGAGACUUUGUGUGUUCUCUGAUCUUAGAUAAUUAUAGAUAUAUUCCAAACGUACUGCUUCGUUGUAAAAUUGUAUAUACUUGAUUGGUGAACCUUUUUUUGUCAAAUUGAUUUUUUUGUUUAACCAGCUAUCUAUGCUAUUCUAUUGUUGCCCUGGUUCAUCAUGUUCAUAUUGUAUUUUUGAGUUCUUAAAUUGGUGUUUGGUUUUCAUACUAGUACUAUUCGACAUGUACUAACAUCUCUUUUACCGGGGGCACUGCAUCUUUAAUGGAUGCGGGUGGUUCUACAGCGGAGGAUAUUGACCCGUGAUAGCGGUGCUCAUUCUUCCCAGCUGACUUGGUGAGCCACAUCUCAUUCCGGGGUUGUGCAUAUUUUGUUUCGUAUGUGUUCUCUUGUUUUGAGGUAUAGCCAGAGCCUUGUUGCCAGCACUAUCAUUGUACUCUUUGGUAUUUUAGAGGCUCCGUAGACUAAGUGUGGGGUGUGUAUGGGUGUUGGAAAUGUUAAACUAGUUGUGUUGUGAGUAAAUCACUUGUUCCACUUUGAACCAUGAAGGUGUGAGUAUGUGUGUUUUGAGACUUAUUAAUGGAGUAACUAAUGGUAAUGAACUGGUAUUGUAGACAUGAUCACCUUAUUGUCUAAUUAAUAAAAAUAUGUAUUAUCCUUAUUCAUGGAUGAGUUUGGGUAGAAGAAAAUCUAAUAGGCUUGCUCGUCGGGUUCACUUGGUUGAGCGCCGAUCGCGCUCUCUGAGUUUGGGGCGUGACAGAAUCAUACCCCAAUUCAAGUCUAAUGAACUUUGAAAUUUCAAAUUUCUACAAACGACGUCAGAACUUAUCAAAUCAAGUACGACUGACCUCAAAUUUUGCACACAAGUCAUAAAUGACAUAACAUAACUAUUCCAAUUUUCAGAAUCAGAUUCCGACCCCGAUAUCAAAAGGUCAACCCACUGGUCAAACUUUCCAAAAAUUCGACUUUCGCUAUUUCAAGCGUAAUUCCACAACAGACCUCCAAAUAAUUUUUCGGACACGCUCCUAUGUCCAAAAUCCCAUACGGAGCUAUUGGAUUCAUCAGAAUUCAAUUCCGCAGUCUUUUACACAUAAGUCAAUAUCCGAUCAACUUUUCUAACUUAAGUUUUUAAUUAUGAGACUAAGUGUCUCAUUUCACUCCGAACUCCUUCCGGACCCGAACCAACUAACCCGGUAAGUCAUAAAAUAAUUGUAAAGCUUAACUUGAGCGGUAAAUGGGGAAACGAUGUUAUAAAACUCAAAAUGACCGCCCAGGUCGUUACAAUAAAGCUGAAAGGUACAAAUUGAAAACACAUACUACAAUUGAACUAGAAUAAAAGACAAACGCUUGGAACUGGUUCUUCUAUCUGGUUCAUGUAACUUUAGGUUCGUACACUUGAAUCACACAAGAAUUGCUUGCAAAAUGCCUUGCUAUUUUGCUCUCAACUCACGCUUAACUUCAGCGUUUGUCCGUACCUAUAGAAUGAGAACAUCCUGCAAUAUAUAGAGUUAAUAGAAUAGGAAAUAACUAGAGUUCUAAUGCUACUCUUCCUUGGUGGAAGAGUUCUAAUUAUCUUCAACUUCUAACUCUUUCCUUAUCUUGGAUAGAGUUCUCUUCAAGUAAGGAGUCCUGGUCCUUAUCAAAUAUGCAACAUUUUCGUUCAGGGAUUAUCAUAAAUAACCACUUAUACUUAUCCCUUUUAUGUACAUGCCUUUUGCUUGAUUCUGCCCGUCACCUGUGUACACUGUCCAUGGACCUGAUUCAUGCAUGUGUUCCUUUGUCAAUCAUCAAAACCAAAACCGCUCAGCCAACAUUCAAACAAGCUGCCUUAAAUUAUUGUUGAACCAAAGCCUUCAAUUUUUAGAGUUUAGCCGAUGUAGCAGUUCAAUAACUAUAAGUACUCAAUCCAAAUCAAAGGCGGAUUUAGGCAGAUUAAGCAAUAGUUAUUGGAUGCAUAUUCUGCAUAUUUUUUUUUUGUUAAUCAAAAUUUUAAUAUGCUGCACAUAUUGCAUUUAUGGUACAUUCUCUAUAUUAGUUUAUUUGUUAAUAUGUAAUUUUGUGUAAGAAACUUGCAGUUGGGGUUGAAAAGUAUAGCAAAACAUUUGGUAGUAUUUUUUCAUUUUGUUAUCUACUUAUUUAUAUUUUGUUAUUGGUUUGUUUUACUAGAUUGUAUAGAUAUCAACUUUUGAAAAACUGUUCUUCCAUAUUUAAUGAUAAAACAACACCUGCAAGUUCUGUGACUGUCGAGGGUAAUCCAGUAGCUACAUGUAGAAAAAGGGUUAAAACAUGAAAUUACUUUCAUAUUCUAUGAGGAUUGUAGGAUUAGAUGUAAUUGUAGUUUUGCAUUAUUUUCAGUAAUAAAAGAAUCUAUUAAAGCCAUAAUUAAAUUGGUAGAACUUAGGGUAGAAAUUAAACAUACAAUAGCAAGAACAAAUGCAACUAAAUUAAGUAUAUUUACCAUUAAAGAGUAGCAAGCUUUUACACUUGUCAAAUAAGAUAUAUUUAUUCCUCAAAAUUUUGCAACUUGCUUGUCAAAAUUUUCAAGAUGAACAACAAUAACAUGAAUGUGAUUGAUAUAUUCAUUUUACUUGUUAGUUUGUAAGAUCAUAAUAUAACUUAAUUAUACUUUUGGAUUCAUCCAACCUAUUCACGUGUGAUCAUUCAAAAUUGAUUAUUUGUCUAGUUGAAUUAUCCAAAUCCGAUUCCGAAGUAAAAAUUGCAUAGGGUGCCCUAUUUGGUCGCCCAUUUUUAACUUAUACCCGUUUUGUUUUUUCGUUUGCAUCCGUGCCCAUUUUUUUUUUGUUAAAAGCAUUUUUAAAAUGCGAUUUUUUCAUUCUUUAAUAAAAGACUAUUGACAAAACUGUAUACUGCAGGGCAAAAUUUCAGCAUGUUUUGGUAUGAAAUUUUAGCAAAUGAACUAAAUAACUUCUGCAUGCAUUAGAAAAAACUAAUUAGAAAAUUACAUACUGCAAGACAAAAAUUUAAGCAUGUUUAGUUUGAAAUUUUAGCAAAUAAACUAAAAAUAUUCAGCUUGUUUAGACUGUAGUUUCGGAUAAAACUCAUGACAAAACUGUAGACUGCAUGACAAAAUUUCAGCAUAUUUUGGUACAAAAUUUUAGCAAAUGAACUAAAUAACUUCAGCAUGCAUUAGCAAAAACUCAUUAGAAAAUUACAUACUGCAAGACAAAAACUUAAGCAUGUUUAGUCUGAAAUUUUAGCAAAUGAACUAAAAAACUUAAGCAUGUUUAGUCUGAAGUUUAAGCAAAUGAAUUAAAAAACUUAAGCAUGUUUAGUCUGAAGUUUUAGCAAAUGAACUAAAUAACUUCAACAUGCAUUAGCAAAAACUCAUUAGAAAAUUACAUACUGCAAGACUUUACGAAUUUUUAGUCUGAAGUUUUAGCAAGUGACUAAAAACUUAAGCAUGNNNNNNNNNNNNNNNNNNNNNNNNNUGACAAAGCUGUAGACUGCAGGAUAAAUAACUUCAGCAUGCAUUAGCAUGAAGUUUUAGCUUCAAGGUGAAACAACUUCAUAUAAGUGUGAUUCUGAAGAUGAAUCUGGACAAAUUUCUGAUUUUUCUGAUAAAGCUGCUGAGAGGAGAGGAGGAGAUACUUUUUCACGAAUGAGGUUGCAGAUUACGCGAUUAAUAUGUGAUGCAGGUUUUAUAUCUUUUGUUAGGGGUGUACUUGUCAUAUUAUUACGGAUUUUUUGUCAGCUGACUACCAAAUCAAUAAUUUUUAAAAAUAGGGUACAAGUUAAAAUAUAACACAAAUAUAGGGUACGACUGCAAAUUCUCCGAUUCCGAAUGAUUAACUCCGAACAUGAUAGUCUCCUAAAGACGAUAGUGAAAAUAAAAGCAAAAGGUAAUUGACUUGCAGUAAUUGGAUUUGGGCCCGACGACAAAGUCGGAUCCAGGACAUAGGAGCAGAAUGCCCAAUAUUUACUGGGCCGAGCUAUCGCAUUAUAGCUUUUGCCCCCUUCCUCGAAACCCUACUAUAAAAUUUCUAGGGCUCUAAAACACUCCCUUCUCUGAUACAUCAGCAGCAGACAGCAGCAAAGACUCUUUCUCCGCCGAAGGUGAGCAACUCUCUUCUUAUUCUCUCUCUUUAUAUACAAACACAAAAAUCAUGCGAAAUGUGCGUUAUUUUAACUAUUAGAUUUAGUGCCGCAGGUGAAGAAUCGGAGCAGAGAAGAAAAAAUGGACGCAGGUGUAGUGGCUGCCCCAGUAGAUGCAAGCGCAGAGAAUAAGGUUCACAGUGAUGUUAUGCUUUUCAAUCGCUGGACCUACGACGAUGUCCAGGUACCUUAAAAAUGCUCAUUUUCUUCACAGUCACAUGUCUAUAGCUGCUAAUAACUCUUUCCUUUGUACUUUUUUUAUUUUAUUUGCACAGGGAAAAUUACAGCUUAUUGCGCCUGUAUAUUUUAAUUUUGAAAUUGGAAAACUAACAUAGGUUCAAGCUGGAAUAUACUUCGUUUUGUGUUAUUAUUAUAUGUGGAAAAUUGCCUGCUUAUAGAGCUUGAGUAUCUAAAUUUUGAUAUUUGAAAAAAAAACUAAUCUGGUUGAUGUAGCUUGAUAGGGCCAGGAUGAGAAAAUCAGCAGUAAGGUAGUAAUUUGCCAGAUGCAAAUGCAGCAAGUUGAAUCCCAAGCAAGUCGGGCUGGCAAUAUGAAUCCUCACUAUCUACAUUCCUCCAUUAAGCACUUAAAGUUUUCCACAUUUUAUACCAAGUAUAUAAAUCUCUAACAGGACCAAGAGACUUCUAAGGAUUAUUGGACUUAUAGUGAACUUACUAACUUGACUAAAACUUUACUUUAGCAAAUUGGUAUCAUCUAUAUAGAUCUUUUUCUUCCGCUGCCAUAUUUUUCACUAGUUUGCAUUGAAUCCAGGAGAUUGUAAGACUUUUGAGACUACUUACUUCUAUGUGAAUUUAGGUUUGCAUGUCCCCCGUUUAGAAUAUUUGACUCCCAUAGGCUGGUGCCAGAUAGCCAAAUAAGCUAAUUCGGUGGGGAGUGGGAUUAGGAGAGCAAAUAUUAUUGGCUUUAUUUUUAGUUGGUUAUUCCCUGAAAUAGAAGGAGAAGUAGGUGUUGCUACUCAGUAAAAGUGUAAUUCUUACUCAAUAACAUCCCGGAAGUGGAGAACGUUGUGUUAGAAUUGUAAAUGAAAAAAAUAAUGCAGACAGAGUUAAGUUGACUAACUAAUAGUUACUUCUGUUUCUGCCUUUUUUACUCAAGGGUACUAUUUUUAAUUUUUCUAUUAGCAAGGCUGAAACUUUUCUUGAAUACAAUUUGAAAGCUUUCUCCUUAACCAAGAUCUCACUUUUUGGUGAAGAUCAAUGACAUCUCUGUUGAGGAUUACAUCACAGCAACUGCUUCCAAGCAUCCAGUUUACAUGCCGCACACAGCUGGCAGAUACCAGGCUAAGCGUUUCAGGAAGGCCCAGUGCCCAAUUGUUGAGAGGCUCACCAACUCUCUGAUGAUGCAUGGACGGAACAACGGAAAGAAGCUAAUGGCUGUCCGUAUCAUCAAGCAUGCAAUGGAGAUCAUUCAUUUGUUGACUGACCAGAACCCAAUUCAAGUCAUUGUUGAUGCCGUCAUUAACAGGUGCACCCAUGCAGAUGAUCGGCUUUUAAUUCAUUCAUAUAUUCUUCAAUCUUUUAUUUUAUUUAUUUUAAAUGGGGGUAACAAUGGGCCCAUUUUUGCAUCAAAUGCUUCAGUAUUUGCAAAUACUGAACUUGGAGUAUCCAAAGUGCUGGUGGAUCAUUUGAAAUACUAGUUUGAGGAGUAUCUCAAAUAAAAUAAUGAUUUUACUCACAAAUCUUCAACUUUCUUAAACAUCUUUUCCAGGUGUAGUUCAUGUCUAAACACAACUUCAGCUUUCAAAUACUCUUUUCCAACUUCAACUUCAGAUCCUUUUUUUUCAACUUCAACUAAAUAU